AAACAUCCGCCGGAAGAACGGGAUUCAUUGAUGUUGAAUAUUAUGAGAUUUUUCUCGUUGUUUA
rnacentral:tRNA from 1 species